CCCUCAUAUACCCAGCGUCCCUCUGAUGACUCACCCACAACAAGUAGACCGAACGCAUGUCCUUCAAGCAGACUCAAAUAGGCUGCUCACAACGAACAGGACAGGCCAUAACAUUACGAAAGCCACUGACGGCUGAGGCGGUUCCAAAUCUGCGUGCUUGGCACAGAAUCUCCAAUCUAAGGAUCUGGGUUGUACGAAAUACAAGUGAAGUGUGGGAGAAAAUCUAGUGUUGAAGCAAAGUGGGACACCAACUAUGAAGGCCAGUCGAGCGAAAGAACGACCCAUCGAACGAAACGGGCCUUAAAAACAUGGUCCACUUUCGGCGCAAACAGUUCCGGAGAACGUGCUGAAGUGGCGAGACAACGAGAAAGUCCGUGGAUCCAAUCCCGUGCUCGUUCAACCUAACAGAUUCCCACGACGAGCAGGAGGCUUCCGGACUACCCACAGCAAAGAAUGGAAGGAAGGAAGAGGCAGGGUAAGUGGGAAAGAGAAACAGAAUCCUGGCGGCUUGGAGUGUAUUCAAAAUAUAUAGGCCAACCUCAAAACGUGUCUUACUUUGGCUUCGUAGCGCCUGCAGUCAGCCCAGCGAGAAUCCGACUGGACAAAAACAGUGCAGACACCUUGCUAACAAGUUCCAGUGUUCUUCAUAUUAAUUAUUUUUCCAUUAGUAGUUCAUUUAACAACGCUUUCAGGAGUUUAGAAUAUAUAGCACAGAAUGAUAGGAUAAAUUGUGAAUAAUGAAUUGGAAAAGGGAUGCCAAUUUUAAGAACUAUCGAGGAAUUUGCUUGGAAUGACUAAGGAAAACCACAAGACAUAUACUUCCCUGAAGAUAGAAAGAGAGUGUUUCUCCAAAAGCUUGGUAUCUAGCCCAGAACAACGUUGUCGUCAUCUUCUGCACCGUCAGAAAGUCAAAUCUCUGACAAUCCAUGAUGGCAGCGGGGGCGGUAAUGAAAUUACUGUAUCACAACCACCGAAUUUCCCCGUUCAGUUGUGAACAAUUCUCCGUCGUAUCUGGGAAGUUCCAGGUGUGAGGAUGGCUGUCUUCUGAACUGUAACGCCGCGUAGUAUGUUAGGCAGCAAGUAGGCCUACCUCUGAAACGUUUGUUGACUUCUACCAGACUGCACGGGUUUACAACCCAGAAGACGGCCAUUUUCAUACCUGCAGCAUCGAGUACCUAGACCUCACUCAGCAAGUAACGCAUCACAGUUUACACAGGCACUGCCUUCAUAAAACGGGCUUGCUUACACAUCCUCAGCAAUUUAUCAUUCAACGCUACUUAACCUAUGUAAGAUUUGAGGUUUUCA